rnacentral:rRNA from 1 species
ACGAGCGCUGGCGGCGUGCCUCAUACAUGCAAGUUGAGCGCUGAAGGUUGGUACUUGUACCAACUGGAUGAGCAGCGAACGGGUGAGUAACGCGUGGGGAAUCUGCCUUUGAGCGGGGGACAACAUUUGGAAACGAAUGCUAAUACCGCAUAAAAACUUUAAACACAAGUUUUAAGUUUGAAAGAUGCAAUUGCAUCACUCAAAGAUGAUCCCGCGUUGUAUUAGCUAGUUGGUGAGGUAAAGGCUCACCAAGGCGAUGAUACAUAGCCGACCUGAGAGGGUGAUCGGCCACAUUGGGACUGAGACACGGCCCAAACUCCUACGGGAGGCAGCAGUAGGGAAUCUUCGGCAAUGGACGAAAGUCUGACCGAGCAACGCCGCGUGAGUGAAGAAGGUUUUCGGAUCGUAAAACUCUGUUGGUAGAGAAGAACGUUGGUGAGAGUGGAAAGCUCAUCAAGUGACGGUAACUACCCAGAAAGGGACGGCUAACUACGUG